rnacentral:lncRNA from 1 species
CUACUGUUGGCUCACCAUCCCUCUCUUGGUGUCUGCCAUUUCUUCUGCUCUUCUCAGUGCUGACACCCCAGUGUGUUCAAACUCAAACUCCCUUUGAAACUGGAACUACCUGGGUCCAUUUGUUGUCAUUUGAUCUGAAAGUACCUAUUUGGCAAGCUCUCCUGUUUACGUCGUCCCGGAACCAGAGUUCAGUGAAAACCUUGGCCAGGCUGCAGCUAGGACAGGUGUACUGGGACAAAUGUCAGAUGGCACACAUCUGUUCUCAUUGUGUGAGUGUCUCCAGCUCAGUUGGCUGGGGGCAGUACACCUACAACUGGGACAAGCGGUUUGGUGCUCUGGGACGGUCCCUGCCCUUUGAAAGAGCCAAAAGAUCGACUUCAAGGGGCCUGGCGAGAUGGCUCAGCAGUUAAGAGCACAUGUUACCCUUGUAGAGGACCUGGGUUCAAUUCCCAGCACUUACAGGGUGGUUCACAAUCAUCUGCAACUCUAGUUCCAGGGGAACUUGUUCCCAUUUCAGACCUCCACAGGUACCAGAUAGACAUGUGGUAAGCAUCGGUGCAGGCUCAUAAAAUAAAAUAUAUAAAUCUAAAUGGGAAAUCAGUGCCAAACAUCCCUUUAUGGAAGAGUUAAGGCAACACAUUUCUUGUAUGCUGCAGCUUUAAGCCUUCAGUCCUACCAUGAGUCUCUUUGAAAUGUUGGUGAAGGUCAGAAAAAUGUUUGUAAAUCAUGGAAUAAAGUGUGUAAGAACACG